rnacentral:rRNA from 1 species
AACGAACGCUGGCGGCAGGCCUAACACAUGCAAGUCGAGCGAGAUCUUCGGGUCUAGCGGCGGACGGGUGAGUAACGCGUGGGAAUAUGCCCUUCUCUGCGGAAUAGCCUCGGGAAACUGAGCGUAAUACCGCAUACGCCCUUUGGGGGAAAGAUUUAUCGGAGAAGGAUUAGCCCGCGUUGGAUUAGGUAGUUGGUGGGGUAACGGCCUACCAAGCCGACGAUCCAUAGCUGGUUUGAGAGGAUGAUCAGCCACACUGGGACUGAGACACGGCCCAGACUCCUACGGGAGGCAGCAGUGGGGAAUCUUAGACAAUGGGGGCAACCCUGAUCUAGCCAUGCCGCGUGAGUGAUGAAGGCCUUAGGGUUGUAAAGCUCUUUUAGCUGGGAAGAUAAUGACGGUACCAGCAGAAGAAGCCCCGGCUAACUCCGUG